GAUGAAGAACGCAGCGAAAUGCGAUAAGUAAUGUGAAUUGCAGAAUUCAGUGAAUCAUCGAAUCUUUGAACGCACAUUGCGCCCGCCAGUAUUCUGGCGGGCAUGCCUGUUCGAGCGUCAUUUCAACCAUCAAGCCCCAGGCUUGUGUUGGAGCCCUGCGGCUGCCGCAGCCUCCCAAAACCAGUGGCGGGCUCGCUAUCACACCGAGUGCAGUAGUUUACUCUUCGCUCAGGGCGUGUGGCGGGUGCUAGCCGUAAAACCCCCAACUUCUCAAGGUUGACCUCGGAUCAGGUAGGAAUACCCGCUGAACUUAAGCAUAUCAAUACGGAGGA
rnacentral:misc_RNA from 1 species